rnacentral:rRNA from 1 species
UACAAGUUAAUCCUUAACAGUCAUGAAGGCAGUCAGUACAGCAGCCCGUAAUGCAGGUUCAAUAGCGAUAUAAAGUGUGCAGUAAAAGGUUGUAGUGAGUCCGGAUUGGGUGAAGGGUCAGGCUAUAUGAGUAAUGCUUCGACCUGCUCCUCUGCUCGGGACGAGCUUAUUUGGUCUUCACAGUUCGGGACUAGGGAUCGUCGUAGGUGACAUUGAGUACAACAAUGAAUGUUUCAAAAGCAAGGCUACAGCUAGAAUACUUACGACAAAGCAAUAAACACAGUAUGGAAUUUCGCUUAUCUAUUUUGUUGGUUAGACCGGGAUGUAAUGUUUAGAGAGGGACUGUGGGGGCGUUUUUUAUUCAAUUUCUGAGAGGUGAAUUUCUUGGAUUUAAAAAGAGGAGAUAUUGUGAAAGCAUUUUCCAAGGAUUUUCUCUAAAACACAAAAAGAAAAAGGUGGGGGUCGAGAGAGGAGAAGAGACCGUAGUAGUGUCAACCCUAUAAAGAUGCCGGCUAGGGGGAGGGGAGGGUGUUUUUUAGUGACUCCGUCAGCACCUUAUGAGAAAUCAAAGUUUUUGGGUUCCGGGGGGAGUAUGGUCGCAAGGGUGAAACUUAAAGAAAUUGACGGAAGGGCACCACCAGGGGUGGAGCCUGCGGGUUAAUUUGACUCAACACGGGGAAACUUACCAGGUCCCGACAUAGUGAGGAUUGACAGAUUGAGAGCUCUUUUUUGAUUUUAUGGGUGGUGGUGCAUGGCCGUUUUUAGUUGGUGGGGUGCCUUGUCAGGUUGAUUCCGGUAACGAACGAGACCUCCGCCUGCUAAAUAGUUUCCGUAGAUUUUUGCAGUGGGCUGCAUUUUUAGGAGGGAUUUUGGGGGUUUAUCAAAAGAAAUAUGGGGCCAAUACCAGUUUUGGGAUCCCUUAAGAUGUUUUGGCCGCCCCCCCCGCUCCAUGGAGCCAUUCACAGACCUUUCCUUGUCCGAAGGGUUUGGGUAAUUUUUGAAAAUGGCUUCGGGAUGGGGAUGGAUUAUGCCAAUUAUUAUUUUUAAAGGAGGAAUCCUUAGUAAGGCCAGUUCUUCAGCUGGCGUGGAUUACGUCCCUCCCCUUUGUCCCCCCCCCCCGUCGCCCCUCCCGAUUGGUUGACUGGGAAAUGUUUCGGAUGGCCGUCAAGGGGGCAACACGUCAUUGGCCGAGAAGUCAUAAACCCUCCCACCUAGAGGAAGAGAAGUCGAACAAGACGUCA